AAUCGCCGCGUAAACGCCGCGGAGCGCGCGCAGCCGCACAUUCCCCACCCCGCGACGCGGCCACCGGCAGAUUCGACACAGAACGCGCGCUCCUUCAGAGACUUCAGAGGGCUCGCCCCACCUUGGGCGCUUGGGAGGGCUGCGGGAUCUCAGACCUGCUCUCUUGUGCUUGGGGCCCCAGCUGACGACCUUCCAGAGAUGGGCUUCCUCCCUCCUGCCCCAAAGGUCCAGGCUGCUACAGCAGAGGCUAAACACAGAGGUGCCCUGAGGAAGAUUCUAAAUCCAGAGGUGUUUGGGGAUGAAAUUAACAUUUAAAUCUGGAUUACCCUCCAAAAUGUGGGUAGGGCUCACCCAUUCAGUGGAAGAACUGAACAGAACGAAAGACCAGCCUCCUGAGUGAGAAGGAAUUCACCAGCAGACUGUCUUUGGGCUUCAUCUGCACCAUCCAUUCUCCUGGUUCUCAAGCCUUCUGGCCCACACUGAAGAUUUGGACUUGCCAGCCUCCAUAAUAGUGUAAGCCAAUUCCUUAUAAUAAGUCUCUCUAUAUAUGUACACAUGCCAUUGGUUUGUUUCUCUGGAGAACCCUAAUGAAUAAAAGGCAUAAAUAAUUUGGAAACAAA